rnacentral:rRNA from 1 species
CAGCAGCCGCGGGAAUACGAAGGGUGCAAGCGUUACUCGGAAUUACUGGGCGUAAAGCGUGCGUAGGUGGUGGUUUAAGUCCGUUGUGAAAGCCCUGGGCUCAACCUGGGAAUUGCAGUGGAUACUGGGUCACUAGAGUGUGGUAGAGGAUAGUGGAAUUUCCGGUGUAGCAGUGAAAUGCGUAGAGAUCGGAAGGAACAUCUGUGGCGAAGGCGACUAUCUGGGCCAACACUGACACCGAGGCACGAAAGCGUGGGGAGCAAACAGGAUUAGAUACCCCCGUAGUCCCUGUCUCUUAUAC